rnacentral:rRNA from 1 species
GGCGGCGUGCUUAACACAUGCAAGUCGAACGAAGCGAAUGAAAGCUUGCUUUUAUGAGCUUAGUGGCAAACGGGUGAGUAACACGUAGACAACCUGCCGACAGGAUGGGGACAACAUUCCGAAAGGAAUGCUAAUACCGAAUGAAGUCGAGGGAAGGCAUCUUCCUUCGAUGAAAGAUGGCCUCUAUUUAUAAGCUAUCACCUGUCGAUGGGUCUGCGUCUGAUUAGCUAGUUGGUGAGGUAACGGCUCACCAAGGCGACGAUCAGUAGCCGGUCUGAGAGGAUGAACGGCCACAUUGGGACUGAGACACGGCCCAGACUCCUACGGGAGGCAGCAGUGGGGAAUCUUCCGCAAUGGGCGCAAGCCUGACGGAGCAACGCCGCGUGAGUGAAGAAGGUCUUCGGAUCGUAAAGCUCUGUUGACGGGGACGAACGUACGGAGUGCGAAUAGUGCUCUGUAA